rnacentral:rRNA from 1 species
GUACCCUGGUAGUCCACGCCGUAAACGAUGUCGACUUGGAGGUUGUGCCCUUGAGGCGUGGCUUCCGGAGCUAACGCGUUAAGUCGACCGCCUGGGGAGUACGGCCGCAAGGUUAAAACUCAAAUGAAUUGACGGGGGCCCGCACAAGCGGUGGAGCAUGUGGUUUAAUUCGAUGCAACGCGAAGAACCUUACCUACUCUUGACAUCCAGAGAACUUAGCAGAGAUGCUUUGGUGCCUUCGGGAACUCUGAGACAGGUGCUGCAUGGCUGUCGUCAGCUCGUGUUGUGAAAUGUUGGGUUAAGUCCCGCAACGAGCGCAACCCUUAUCCUUUGUUGCCAGCGGUCCGGCCGGGAACUCAAAGGAGACUGCCAGUGAUAAACUGGAGGAAGGUGGGGAUGACGUCAAGUCAUCAUGGCCCUUACGAGUAGGGCUACACACGUGCUACAAUGGCGCAUACAAAGAGAAGCGACCUCGCGAGAGCAAGCGGACCUCAUAAAGUGCGUCGUAGUCCGGAUUGGAGUCUGCAACUCGACUCCAUGAAGUCGGAAUCGCUAGUAAUCGUAGAUCAGAAUGCUACGGUGAAUACGUUCCCGGGCCUUGUACACACCGCCCGUCACACCAUGGGAGUGGGUUGCAAAAGAAGUAGGUAGCUUAACCUUCGUGACGGGCG